GACGAACGCUGGCGGCGUGCUUAACACAUGCAAGUCGAACGGAAAGGCGCUGCUUUUGUUUGUUGCUCGAUUGGCGAACGGGUGUGUGUCACGUGAGUAUCAUGCCCUUGUCUUUCUGAUAACUUCAGGAAAAUGCGGCGCAUAUCGGAUAGGAGCUCCUGCUGCAUAGGGUUGGUUGGAAAGUGUCGGCGGUGGGGGCUGGACUCGCGGCUUAUCGGCUUGUUGGGGUGGUAGUUGCUUACCAAGGGUUUGACGGGUAGCCGGCCUGAGAGGGUUAACGGCGACAUGGGGACUGAGAUACGGAGCAGAAUGCUACGGGAGGCAGCAGUGGAGAGUAUUGCACAACGGGCGGGAGCCUGAUGCAGAAACGUCGCGUGCGGGAAGCCGGCCUUCGGGUUGUGAACAGAUUUCGACUGAGACGAGGCGUGAGUGACGGUAAUGGGUAAAGAAGCACCGGCUAACUACGUG
rnacentral:rRNA from 1 species